CAAAGAGCAAAUAUUGCUGUGUUUGAAAUGCACGAAAAAACAACUGCGCUAACAGGCCUUUUGUGAACUUUACGCGAAAAUUGCACCCCGUGAAAAUAUAUACGAUUACAGUAUC